GUGGGGAAUAUUGGACAAUGGGCGCAAGCCUGAUCCAGCCAUACCGCGUGGGUGAAGAAGGCCUUCGGGUUGUAUAGCCCUUUUGUUGGGAAAGAAAUCCUGUCGGUUAAUACCUGGCGGGGAUGACGGUACCCAAAGAAUAAGCACCGGCUAACUUCGUGCCAGCAGCCGCGGUAAUACGAAGGGUGCAAGCGUUACUCGGAAUUACUGGGCGUAAAGCGUGCGUAGGUGGUGGUUUAAGUCCGUUGUGAAAGCCCUGGGCUCAACCUGGGAAUUGCAGUGGAUACUGGAUCACUAGAGUGUGGUAGAGGGAUGCGGAAUUUCUGGUGUAGCAGUGAAAUGCGUAGAGAUCAGAAGGAACAUCCGUGGCGAAGGCGACAUCCUGGGCCAACACUGACACUGAGGCACGAAAGCGUGGGGAGCAAACAGGAUUAGAUACCCGGGUAGUCC
rnacentral:rRNA from 1 species